AGUCGAGCGGUAACAUUUCAAAAGCUUGCUUUUGAAGGCGUCGAGCGGCGGACGGGUGAGUAACGCGUAGGAAUCUACCUAGUAGUGGGGGACAACCUGGUGAAAACCAGGCUAAUACCGCAUACGCCCUAUGGGGGAAAGCGUGGGACCUUCGGGCCACGUGCUAUUAGAUGAGCCUGCGUAAGAUUAGCUAGUUGGUAGGGUAAAGGCCUACCAAGGCGACGAUCUUUAGCUGGUUUGAGAGGAUGAUCAGCCACACUGGGACUGAGACACGGCCCAGACUCCUACGGGAGGCAGCAGUGGGGAAUAUUGCACAAUGGGCGCAAGCCUGAUGCAGCCAUGCCGCGUGUGUGAAGAAGGCCUUCGGGUUGUAAAGCACUUUCAGCGAGGAGGAAAGGUUAGUAGUUAAUAACUGCUAGCUGUGACGUUACUCGCAGAAGAAGCACCGGCUAACUCCGUGCCAGCAGCCGCGGUAAUACGGAGGGUCCGAGCGUUAAUCGGAUUUACUGGGCGUAAAGCGCGCGUAGGUGGUUUGUUAAGUUGGAUGUGAAAGCCCAGGGCACAACCUUGGAACUGCACCCAAAACUGGCAGACUAGAGUUUUUGUAGAGGGUGGUAGAAUUUCAGGUGUAGCGGUGAAAUGCGUAUAGAUCUGAAGGAAUACCAGGGGCGAAGGCGGCCACCUGGACAAAGACUGACACUGAGGCGCGAAGGCGUGGGGUAGCAAACGGGAUUAGAUACCCCGGUAGUCCACGCCGUAAACGAUGUCUACUCGGAGUUUGUGGCUAUAUGCCGUGGGUUUCAAAGCUAACGCAUUAAAUAGACCGCCUGGGGAGUACGGCCGCAAGGUUAAAACUCAAAUGAAUUGACGGGGGCCCGCACAAGCGGUGGAGCAUGUGGUUUAAUUCGAUUCAACGCGAAAAACCUUACCUACUCUUGACAUCCCGUGAUAAUCACCUACAGAUAGACGAGUGCCUUCGGGAACUCUGAGACAGGUGCUGCAUGGCUGUCGUCAGCUCGUGUUGUGAAAUGUUGGGUUAAGUCCCGCAACGAGCGCAACCCUUAUCCUUAUUUGCCAGCACGUAAUGGCGGAACUCUAAGGAGACUGCCGGUGAUAAACCGGAGGAAGGUGGGGACGACGUCAAGUCAUCAUGGCCCUUACGAGUAGGGCUACACACGUGCUACAAUGGCGCAUACAAAGGGCAGCGAACUGGCAACAGUAAGCGAAUCCCAUAAAGUGCGUCGUAGUCCGGAUUGGGGUCUGCAACUCGACCCCAUGAAGUCGGAAUCGCUAGUAAUCGUAGAUCAGAAUGCUACGGUGAAUACGUUCCCGGGCCUUGUACACACCGCCCGUCACACCAUGGGAGUGGGUUGCACCAGAAGUAGGUAGUUUAACCUUCGGGAGG
rnacentral:rRNA from 1 species